AAGUAAGUCCCGAAAGUACGCCUGCCACCUCUGCUUGACUUGAGAAUCCCCCAUCAGAGCUCUACCAUCCUCGCCCUUGAUGCACCUAACUUGGUCAAGAUCACGUGCCUUCCUUUCCCUUGCUUUAGCUAACCGGAAUAACUUCAUGUCCCCGCCUUUCUCCCCUAGUUCCUCGUACAUGCGACCAAACCCCGCAUUUUUAG
rnacentral:lncRNA from 1 species